CCUACGGGAGGCUGCAGUGGGGAAUCUUGCGCAAUGCGCGAAAGCGUGACGCAGCAACGCCGCGUGGGGGAAGAAGGCCUUCGGGUUGUAAACCCCUUUCAGGAGGGACGCGGUACCUCCAGAAGAAGCCCCGGCUAACUACGUGCCAGCAGCCGCGGUAAUACGUAGGGGGCAAGCGUUGUCCGGAAUCAUUGGGCGUAAAGAGCGUGUAGGCGGUCCGUUAAGUCGGCUGUGAAAGUCCAGGGCUCAACCCUGGGAUGCCGGCCGAUACUGGCGGACUAGAGUCCGGAAGAGGUGAGUGGAAUUCCCGGUGUAGCGGUGAAAUGCGCAGAUAUCGGGAGGAACACCAAUGGCGAAGGCAGCUCACUGGGACGGACUGACGCUGAGACGCGAAAGCGUGGGGAGCAAACAGGAUUAGAUACCCUUGUAGUC
rnacentral:rRNA from 1 species